AUUGAACGCUGGCGGCAUGCUUUACACAUGCAAGUCGAACGGUAACAGGCCUUCGGGUGCUGACGAGUGGCGAACGGGUGAGUAAUGCAUCGGAACGUGCCCAGAGGUGGGGGAUAACGCAGCGAAAGCUGUGCUAAUACCGCAUGUGAUCUGAGGAUGAAAGCGGGGGACCAGGCAGCAAUGUUUGGCCUCGCGCCUUUGGAGCGGCCGAUGUCGGAUUUGGUAGUUGGUGGGGUAAAGGCCUACCAAGCCGACGAUCUGUAGCUGGUCUGAGAGGACGGCCACCCACACGGGGACGGAGACACGGCCCAGACUCCUGCGGGAGGCAGCAGUGGGGAAUGGUGGACAAUGGGCGGAAGCCUGAUCCAGCAAUGCCGCGUGCGAGAAGAAGGCCUUCGGGUUGUAAACCGCUUUUGUACGGAACGAAAAGGCUCUGGCUAAUACCUGGGGCUGAUGACGGUACCGGAAGAAUAAGCACCGGCUAACUACGUG
rnacentral:rRNA from 1 species